UUUAAGUGUAACUGUGCCCUUUUUUUUUUUCCAAAGUUUGACCGUCUAUCUUAUUUGAAAUUUUUUAUGUUUAGUAUUUUUACUAUUAUUAGAUGAUAAAAUAUGAAUAACACUUUAUACGUGACUUAUUAUUUUUUAUUUUUAUAAUUUUUAGAUAAGAGGAACAAUCAAACAUUAUAUAUAGAAACCCAUGCACUUAAA
rnacentral:pre_miRNA from 1 species